GAUGAACGCUGGCGGCGUGCAUAACACAUUCAAGUCGAACGGACUUGCGAAGAAGCUUGCUUUUUUGCAAGUUAGUGGCGGACGGGUGAGUAACGCGUGAGCAACCUGCCUUGUAUUGUGGGAUAACACAGGGAAACUUGUGCUAAUACCGCAUGAAGCGUCAUUGUCGCAUGGUGAUGACGUUAAAGAGAGAUUGAUGCAAGAUGGGCUCGCGUAUGAUUAGGUAGUUGGCGGGGCGAACGGCCCACCAAGCCUACGAUCAUUAGCCGAACUGAGAGGUUGAACGGCCACAUUGGAACUGAGAAACGGUCCAGACUCCUACGGGAGGCAGCAGUGGGGAAUAUUGGGCAAUGGGCGAAAGCCUGACCCAGCGACGCCGCGUGAGGGAAGAAGGUCUUCGGAUUGUAAACCUCUUUCAGCAGGGAAGAAGAAGUGACGGUACCUGCAGAAGAAGUCACGGCUAACUACGUGCCAGCA
rnacentral:rRNA from 1 species